rnacentral:rRNA from 1 species
UACGUAGGUGGCAAGCGUUGUCCGGAAUUAUUGGGCGUAAAGCGCGCGCAGGCGGCUUCUUAAGUCUGAUGUGAAAUCUCGGGGCUCAACCCCGAGCGGCCAUUGGAAACUGGGAAGCUUGAGUACAGAAGAGGAGAGUGGAAUUCCACGUGUAGCGGUGAAAUGCGUAGAUAUGUGGAGGAACACCAGUGGCGAAGGCGACUCUCUGGUCUGUAACUGACGCUGAGGCGCGAACGCGUGGGGAGCAAACAGG